UCGGGGCGACAACUUGCCCGAGGUCGCUAUGGCAGAGUCAGGAUUGGAUAACCGUACGGUCUCCGGAUCCAAGGCUGGCUCCAGAAGAGAUGGGGUCUCACUAUGAGAAGGAAACACUUAUAAUGUUAAAUGAACAAAGCAGGAUUUGCCAACAAAAGAGAUAAGCGAACUCCAUGCUGCUUUUCAGGGACAACUUUGCUGCAAGCUCUCAGAAGGCUCGCUGUACACCUGGCCUGUGCUGGACACUGGGGAGUAGCUGAGGAAGCCAUGCUCUGUGUGCUCAAGAAGGUGACCCAGAUGGCUGCCUUCCCAAUGUCCCCAGAGUGGUUGGUGACAACUCAGUAAUGACUCUUCCUUAAUGGUAUGAAGAGAGGAAUUGUAAGAUUAUGAGGAAACUUGCCACAAUCAUCCAAGAAUUUAAAAUAUCCAUUUGAAGUCUGGGAAGUGGAGCCAGGAAGCACGUUGUGGAUGGGCACUCCUGGAAGAGAUAGCAUCUCCGUGUGCCUAGAAGGAGAAGAGCUUUGCAAUUCUUUUCUAUGAACCAUGUGACGAAGAUGUACCAAGAACUGCUUCUAUCAGUGAAGGAGACAGCCUGGUUUCAGAGGAAAUGCAUUUUACAGUGAUUCUUUGCUUUUAGACAUUCAGCAAAAGAGUGCUGUGACGAGAACUGGGCAGAAUAUCAGCUCAUCAGAAGCAGUGACAUCCAAGAGCCUGGAGGAGCCUGAAGAACAAUUGAGAGAAGCCUCCUUUGCCAACGCAUUGCCCACCAGGGCUGCACGUGGUACCCCUGCUCCAAGAUGCUUCCCAAAAACACCAGGACCAGGCAGUUAAAUGGCACUUGUACCAGCUCGGUGGACAUGGAGCUCUUCCUUCAUUAUUCCCUCAUCCCAUUAAGAUCGAGUUGGAGGUGGGCAAGAGAUGAGGCAGGAAGACCAACUGGGAGACUAGCAGGGAUCCAGCUCUUCAUCAUUUUGAUCUUGUCCUUCCUUCAAAGAUGAGAGCAUUGUAGACAGAGAGAUGAUACCUCUUACCUGCUGGGGAACUGCUUUGGCAUUAUCAUGCCUCUGGACUUCGUGGGCACUUUCAGUAACCGAUGGUCCUAUGGAAUCACCUUUGGGGCCACAGCUAAUAAGGUCAUGUUUUUGUUCUCAGAAGGCUACCAGCCCCUGCAGAUCCCGCAGUGGGCCCAAGGUUUGCUGUCACCAUUAUUCAAGUUUCACAGUGUCCCCACGGGCAGGUAAGUCUCUGUUGGCCUUUUUUGGGGUUUUCAGUCCUAUCACCAUGCUCAAGUUGCUGUGUGAUCUUGAACAAGCCUCUGUCACUUCUGGGGCUCCACUUUUUCAUUUGCAUAAAAAGGUAGUUGUUGUCGUUCGUGAUGCUUCCAUUUGUAGAGCACCCCAUGUUCAUCAAGGUGUGCAUUCACAGACAGGUGUUUUCUCAUUUACUCCUCAGAAGUAAAGCUUCUGUUCCAUUGGCCUGUGUGUCUGUUUUUGUACCAGGGCCAUGCUGCUUUGGUCACUGUAGCCUUGUAGAUGGUUUAAGUCAGGUAGUGUGAUGCCAUCAGCUUCAUUCUUUUUGCGUAGGAUUGCUUUGGCUGUCUUCCACACAGCUAGUCAAUCACAAGUUGUGCUAAUGUGUUCUGCCGUUUCUCAAACCUGUCUCUCCUCUCAAUUCUUACUACCACCCUGGUUUUCAGACCAUCAACAUCUCUCACCUAAGCUGUGCAGUAGCCUCCUAACUGAUCCCUGACACUUCAUUGUUGCCCCUCUGCCCUCACCACUGAAACACAGACUACCUAAAGCAAAAUUAUCCUGAGACUUCCCUUCUUAAAAUCCUUUUUUGACUCCUAUUUCCUAUUAAAUAAUGUCUAUACUUCUUAAUGUAAUGGACAGGCAUCUCCUGUUCCUCUCUGCUCUACCUUUGUUACUGUAGUAAUAGGUAAAUGUUUAUAAUUUCCCCUGAAGUCCCUCUGCUAUUCAGUGCUUCCAUGUAUUUGUUCAUUAUGAUCUUUUUCUCUGAAACUCCCUCACCACUUUUCCUCCUGGCUAAUUAUUUACUGUCCUUCAAGCCUAAGCUCAAGCAUCAUCUUUUUCAGAAAACCUACUUUGAAGUUCCAGAGUGGACCAAUGGCCCCUUUUAAUGCUCCCCAUAGUCAUCAUGUUGAUCUCUAUCUUUUCACUUUAAACAUGCUUUUAAACCUACUUCCUGCGUAUAAAGUUUGUUAUAAUUUUAAUAUUUGUAUUUUUCUGUGUCUUGUUCUUCUCUUUAUGGUUUCUGUUGACUCCUGCUUAUGGUAGUUUGACACUUCAACUCUGUUAAAUUUUAUAAAUAGCUCAUAUUUGUCUAAACUUUAACUUUGGGUUUCCUGAGAGACCGAAAUUGAGAUGAUUUGCUUGGUUUCUGCUUGGCUGUGGAAGCAGGACCAAUCAGGAACCAUUCUAGUUAGAUUUAUUGGUUUGAGUUUUCUUGGACUAUGAGUAUGGUGUAAAUUCAAAUUCCAGCAUAAAAGUAAAGCUGGUUAGAAAACAUUAGGGAAGACUAUUAAAAUUAUUAAUGUUUUACAAUCCACCGCCUGCAGAGACUGAUUUGCUUAUUGGUUCACUUGUCAUAUCCUUCCAGCUUUGUCUUUUCCACUAAAUAUGUAGCCCAUUUUGGUGCCUGGAUUUAUGUGGAGGUCUCAGAUUCAGUUUCCUACUUUGUCAGGUUCAAAUCCUGUUAGUCAGUUAACCAGAAAAAUUCUAGAUUCCCAGGAAUGUGUCAGAGCAUUUCAGUGUCCCCUAUUGACAUCUCAUUCCCAGCUUUUUAAAAAAGAAAGUAUUUUUAUUUUCCUAUUGAUUGCCCCAAUUCCUAUGUACUACCUCAGGCAGCCGCAAUAUUAACUAACAAAGCUCUAGGUUUUUGGUUUUGGCACACUUCCAGGGCAUCUCUGGCUUCUGUGUUGACUGAUGACUUUAGUUUCACCUCUAGAUUGUUUGCAUGCAUGCGUGCAUGUGUGUGUGUAAUCAUUUUGUACUUCCUCUACAUUUUUGUGAGUUCAGAAAUGUAUUUAAAAGUAUAUUUGGGGUCGGGCGCAGUGGCUCACACUGUGAUCCCAGCACUUUGGGAGGCUGAUGCGGUAGGAUCACCUGAGUUCAGGAGUUCGAGACCUGCCUGGCCAACAUGGCAAAACCCCAUCUCUACUAAAAAUGCAAAAGUUAGCUGGGCAUGGUGGUGUGGACCUAUAAUCCCAGCUACUAGGGAGACUGAAGCAGGAGAAUUGCUUGAACUUGGGAGGCAGAGGUUGCAGUGAGCCAAGACUGCACCAUUGUACUCCAGCCUGGACAACAAAGCGAGACUCUAUCUCAAAAAAAAAAAGAAGUGUAUUUGGAAGUGAUGUCAGUAAAAAUGGCAAGCUAGGAACCUUCUAAAAUUCCUGUCUUCAUAAAAGCAACUCAGAAAAAUAGAAGCAACUUUUUCAGAACUCUGGAAAAUAUCCAAAUGUUUGCUGUAAUCUUGGAGCAUUUAUUCAAGAACAUAGGCUGAAUUUUGGUUAGAAUAGUGAGAUUUAUAAUGUUCUUAUUUGCUCUAUGGUCAUCACAUCCUCCCAGCUACAUGGUAGCCUUGAAAACCAACAUCCUACAAUCUUGGUGAAAAACAAGCUCCUGGGAGCCAUAGAAAGAAACAAAAGGGGUUUGGGACUCAUUCCUUUUUUUUCCUCUCCCUCCCACUGUCAGACAGCAUGGGCUGUACCGUGCAUUCCCUCCUCUGGAGAAAUGAUGGUAGGUUUCCACAUCUGUGUAGCAUCUCCCACUCUGGAGAUCACCCUGAGCCCUUGCAUCUCCCACCAGGUAAGCCAAGCCCAGUCCAGGCCUGGCUGUGAGCCUGGGCCUGGCACUCAAUUUUCCUGAGUCAUUAUUUACACAACAGAAAUAAUGAAAGUGUCUACCAUGAAGGGAUGCUGUGAGGACUAAAUGAGCUGUAUACAUAAAAGACCUGGCCCAGAAUGAGCACUCAGAGAUGGUGGAUGUAGUUUUUUGUGUGAAUAAAGUGUUCAGACAGGUUCCGCAAGCUUCAUCUGCGUAAAGUUUUAACAUGAUCUCUGGAUGCUUGUCAGAUAAUUGUCUAGAUUAAUCACUUGAAAAGCAUUACAUACACACACACACACAUACACUGUUUUGUGAUCUGCUUUUUUCAACAAAACAAAAUACUGGAACAAAAUUUCAUGUUUCAAUUCUUCGUCUAGAUCAUAAUUGUAAAUAGCUAAUUGUGUGGUGAUACGCAGUGAUAUUUAAUCAGUCCCGUAUUCUGAAACAUUGAGGUGGUUUUCCACUUGUCAUUGUUUGAAAAACUUCAUGCCAAAUGUAUUUAUGAUAUUAUUCCCCUUAUAAUAUUAUUCCCUUGCCAGAUUUUCUAGAAUACAUUUCUAGAAAUGAAAUUACUGAUUUGAAGAAUGUGCAUGUUUUUAAGGUUUUGAUUUCUGUUACCACCAGAACCUUGCUAAAAUAAUUUUACUGAGAAAGUGAGGUGGUACAUUUUUGUAUGAGGGCCAUGUUUUUUAUUUUUUAAAAAUUGCAGCAAAAUACACUGAAGAGUGCAGUUUAGUGGUAUUAGACAUUUAUGUUGCUCUGUUACCAUUACCACCGCCCAUCCUCACACUCUUUUCAUCUUGCAAAGCUGAGACUUCUUAUUUUUAACCUCUAAGUUUUAUAAAAUUAAAUAGAUUAAAUAAUAUUUAGGGUUGGUGUGAGUGUGGAGAAGUGGGUCCCCUCAUUUACUGGUAAGUUGAUGUAAUUUUGUUGACCAAAAAAUUGGGAAUAUUUAUGCUUUAUAAAAAAGUACAUACUGUUUGCCUCAAUGAAUCCACUUAUAGUCUACAAAAGUAGUCACACAAGCAUGGAUAUUAUAUUCACAUAUUCAAAGAUUUUUCUGUAGCAUAAUUUAUAAUAUAAAAAAACUGAAAAGAAUCUAUAAGUUUAUCAAUAAUGAGAUUUUAAAUUAUGGUUACAUGUGACGGUUAAGCAGAAUGAGUUGUAUCUGUCUGUAUAGUUGUAUCUGUGUGUAAUGAAGAGGUGUGCAGGAUAACUGUAAGUACAAAAAAACAAACUUCAGAACAAUGUUUAUAGUAUGAUCCUAUUAAAAAACCAAAAUAAUAAUACAUUACUUGGCAAAACUCUCCUUCAUAAAUAAGGGAGGGAUAAAGACUUCUUCACACAAACUGAGGGAGGAAGUCCAUUAACACUAGACUUGCCUUACAAGAAAUACUAAAAGGAGUUCUUCAAACUGAAAAUGAAAGGCUGCUAAUUAAUCAUAUGAAAACAUAUGAAAGUAUAAAAUUCACUGGUAAAGGUACAUGUGUAGUCAAAAGUAUUAAGAAUAACUUUACAAUAACUCAUUAAGUGAUACACAACAUAAAAGAUGUAAAGUGUGAUAUCAAAAACAAUGUGUAUGUGUGUGUGCAGAGCUUUUAUACAGAAUCAAAGUUAAGUUGUUAUUAGCUUAAAAUGGACUAGUAUAACUAUAAGAUGUUUUAAUAUGCCUCAUAGCAAUCAUGAAGCAAAAACUUAGCAGAUACACUAAGAUGAAGAGAAAGGAAUCAAAGCAUACCACAACUGAAAAUCCUCAAAUCACAAAUAAAGACAGCAAGAGAGGAAAAAAAUAGUAAAAGAGCUGCAAAGCAACCAGAAAACAAUGAACAAAAUGACAAUACUCAAUCCUUCUCUAUCAAUAAUUACUUUAAAUGUAAAUGAACUAAAUUUGCUGAUCAAAAGACACAGGGUGGCUUUAUGGAUUUAAAAAAAUACAAAAACAAGGCCAGGCCUGGUGGCUCAUACCUGUAAUCCCAGCACUUUGGGAGGCAGAUGUGGGUGGACUGCUUGGAGCUGGGAGUUCGAGAGCAGCCUGGCCAACAUAGCAAAACCCCGUCUCUACUAAAAAUACAAAAAUUAGCUGAGUGUGGUGGCGAAUGCCUGUGGUUGCAGCUACUAGGGAGGCUGAGGCAGGAGAAUUGCUUGAACCUGGGAGGCAGAGUUGCAGUGAGUCGAGACUGCGCCACUGCACUCUAGUGUGGGAGACAGAGUGAGACUGAGUCUCAAAAAAAAAGAAAAAAAAAAAGAAAAGAAAAGAAAAAACAAGACCCAACUAUAUGUUGCUACAAGAGACUCACUUCACCUUUAAAGCUACAGACAGACUGAAAGUGAAGGGAUGAGAAAAGAUAUUCCAUGCAAAUGGAAAGCAAAGAGCACAGGGGUAGUUAUACUAGACAAACUAGGAUUUAAGUCAAAAACUAACAGGACAAAGAUGGUUAUUAUAUAAUGAUAGAGGAGUCAAUUCAUAAAGAGGAUAGAACAGUUGUAAAUAAUAUGCACCCAACAUCGGGUACACUUAAAUAUAUAAGGCAAAUAUUCAUAGAUCUAAAGGGAGGAAUAGACGGCAAUACAAUAAUAGCAAGGGACUUUAAUACUCCACUUUCAACAAUGGAUAGAUCAUUCAGACAGGAAAACAGUAAGAAAACAUUAGACUUGAACUAAACUUUAGACCAAAUGGACUUAACAGACAUAAAUAGAACAUUCCAUCCAAUAACAACAGAAUGCACAUCUUCUCAAGCACACAUGGAACAUUCUCCAGGACAGAGCAAAUGUUGGGCCACAAAGCAAAUCUUAAUAAAUUUGAGAAGAUAUAGAUCAUAUCAAGUUUCUUUUUGGACCACAAUGGUAUGAAACUGGAAAUCAAUAAUGGGAGAAAAACGGGAAAGUUCCCAGAUACAUGGAAAUUAAACAACAUGCUUCUAAGCAAUCAAUGGGUAAAAGAAGAAAUCAAAGGGGAAAAUGAAACAUUUUGAGACAAAUAAAAAUGGAAACAAAACAUAACAAAACUUAGGGGAUGCAGCAAAAGCAGUUCUAAGAGGGAAAUUUAUAGCAAGAAAAGCCUGCAUUAAAAAAGAAGAGGCCAGGCAUGGUGGCUCACACCUGUAAUCCUAACACUUUGGGAGGCCAAGGUGGGUGGAUCACUAAAGCCCAAGAGUUUGAGACCAGCCUGGGCAACAUAGGGGAUCCCUAUUGCCACACACACAAGAAAAUAAUAAAACAAAAUUAGCUGGGUGUUGUGGUACGAGCCUGUCAUCCUAGUUACUCGGGAGGCUGAGGUGGGAGGAUCACUUGAGCCUGGAAGGUCAGGGCUGCAGUAAGCCGAGAUUGUGUCUCUGCACUCCAGCCUGGGCAGCAGAGCGAGACCCUGUCUCAAAAAAAAAAAAAAAAAAGGGAUUUGGACUUGAUGGUUCUGUGGUAAACAAAACAAGUGAGGUGAUGGAUAGGUUAAUCAGCUUGAUUUAAUCAUCCCAUAUUUGGUGUGUGUGUGUGUAUAUAUAUAUGUGUGUGUAUAU